UGAGAUUUCCCAUAGCGUCAAGCUAGUAAGACCCCUGAAAGAUGAUCAGGUUGAUAGGUUUGAGGUGGAAGCAUGGUGACAUGUGGAGCUGACAAAUACUAAUCGGUCGAGGACUUAACCAAAA
rnacentral:rRNA from 1 species